rnacentral:sRNA from 1 species
GAGAGCUUACAAUAUCUUCUGCACUUAAGCAGGUUCUUGUUCCCUUAGCCCUCUGCCUUAUUUUCG